GCUAUUUUUAGACUCGCAAUAAAUUCUUGCAUACAAAAUUCAAAUAAUUUAAUGUUGCUCUAAGAGGAGUGCCGAUUUGUACUCUAGGGCUCCACCCAAAAGCAUGCAAAAAAACAUUCAAAUCAGUGACAUACACAUUACACACGUACAGUGUAAUGAAAAAUUGAAAUCGGACAAGUAGUUUACGAGUCCACAGCGGACAAACAACGUGACCCGUAAUUUAUAUAACUGACUGAUAACAAAAAUUUAUUUUCCUUAAAACUUAUUCAGUACGAAUUAACAGUCUUAAUACCAAACAGUAGUUUAAUGUGUUUCCCAUCGUCAAUUUGAUUAUGAUAUUUUUAACAUAUCAAUUUUUAAUAUUAUAUUUACUCUAUUAGAUCCACUUCUUAUAAUUAAUAAGGACCUUUUAAGCCUUAUUUGAUUUGACCUCGAACAUAAUCCUGACUUUUAUAACUGAAAUACGUAAGCUCUGUCCAGUAUGAGUUACAUUUUGCUUAUCGCUACGCCUCGGGACAGACGUAUCGAUAUUUAUCAAUAUUUAUCUAAUCUACCUGGCUAAGGGAUUCAUUUAGAUCAAAUAACCAAAGCAACUAUGUUGGGUGUUGUAACCAAGUCAAACAUCCUUGGAAGGAAUGUGAUGAAAACUUUCAUCAGGAAUGGAUCCCAUGGAGGUGUUCCAGGGGAGAACCUUCCCUUCAACAUUCACAACAGAACACGAUUGACAGUAAACUUUUUCCUGUACAUCUUGACUGGUAUUUCAUCACCAUUUGUCAUCACAGCUUACCAAAUGAACAAAUAAAAGAAGCGAUGUAAG